GUGGAACUUGGGAUUCGAACGGCAGGCGGGAAGUGCUCUAGCAGGGGAGUCUGACCUUGUGAGGGAAUACCUGUGUCCCCCCUUUUUUCCCCUUUUUACCCAAUAAAACCCUGCCUUACUCACCCUUUAAAUCAUCUGCGAGCCUGAAUUUUCAUGGCCGUGGGACGGACAAGAACUUUAUCUUCAGCUGAACUAAGAAAAAGUCCUGCAACAUUUUUGGCGCGCAAUGUGGGGGCACCAGAAGCGGGCACCGUUGAGCUGUUGCAACUGUUCUGCUGGAGCCUUAUGUAUGUGGUUGAAACCACCUGUACUACUGGAAUGAAAGCACCUUUACAGAAGAGGCAAUGCAAGUUGUAUUCAUCACAUGUGUAGAAUGAAUUAAGAUUUAUGCCAGUUGCAAAGAAGAAUAUUGGCUCACUAUUUUUCCUCUGGGCAUAGUUGUACUGCGACAUUAGCUCUUUUGACUAGAUGUGAUGACAGACUGUCUUUGGUCCAUUCUCUUUUAUUGCCUUGGAAGAGAAUAAAUGAGGAGUAGUUCUCACCCAUUGCAGCUGAGGCAUCACACCUGUAAUGGGAUUAACAAGAUGAUAAUAUAUCUUUUGCCAAGACCACAUACUAGCAGGGGUACAAGCAAUUUUCCAGUCUUGACCCUUUAUCUGUUGACCAAGCUAAGGCAGAAACCAGCUAAAUUCUGGAUUUAAUCUUGAGCAGCAAAAAAGAUCAGCUUUUGAAGUGGAUCUGCUUUUAUUCUUGGCAAAAGUUCAGCGGAGACCAACCAGAGUGGUGACAAAGUUCUUCAACAUCAAGCCAAAUGUAAUACAAGGAAUUACGGAUAGUGCUUAAUCUAAAAUAAAGAAAUUCCACAUCUCCCUAAAAAGUUAUUGGCUUCAAGAAUGAAAACAAAAGAAGCAUAUUUGUCUCAAUCCAAACACAGACACCAGAAAGACAAACCAGGAGUAUACAGCAAAGUAGCUUGCAGGAUAAUACAUUGAAAAAUGUAAUUGUGCAUAAAUCAUGCACAAAGUAGAAACCACAAAUUCUGUAUUUGGCAAGGCUUCGGUUCCUUUGCAUAAUUCUUUCAUUUUCAUCUUGCUGCUUCCAUUCUCUUUUCAUCAAAAAAAGCUACAUAAAACAAAGACAUAAACUGUAUGCAAUUAAAAUGAGAAAAUAGCUGAAAGGAAUGUAUUGAUAAUUAUGUUAAAAUCUAUACCAUAAGUAUUCUUGCAUUGUUAAGCAUCUAAUUUUUCAUGUGUUGACAUCAGCAUCUCAGUUCUCUCUAACAUCUGAAAGCUUUUUUUUUUAAGGCAACUUCUUUUAGAGUGAACAAACUUAUGUACCACCGAGUUGACAAAAGUAUAACUAUAUCCUACAGAAAGAGACCUCAAGUAAACCUCCAGCAGCCAUCUGGACUUCCAUGAAAACAGAACAAUCAGUGAGAUGCAGAGCUUGGAGGAGACAGUUUCCAUAGACUGAAGCACGUGCUGAAGCAAAGUUCACACUUGCAGGAUUAGAAGAGGUUGACCGAAAGAAGGAAGGACAUGGACAGCUAUGUUGUUGUGGAGUCCUGUUUUAUAGUCAUAACCUUGAGUCAAGUGAGUUUGUCUGGACAGACAGAGCUUGUUGCCUUUACUUAUAGGGAAGGCACCGGACACAGACAGCCUCAAGGACAUUUGUUCUAGCCUUUCAGUAUCCUUUCUCUUAAUUAUCUCACCUCAUCCAUGAAGCUGGUAUGUACGAUUUUUCCUUUCUUUCUCAAUCCUUUAAAAAAUUAAAGCUCUAAAUCUCAUUUCCACUUAGAUUUUAAUGUUGCAUUGUAACUUAAGAUAAAACCUUGCUCUGAUGUUAAAAAUACUAAAGUAAGAAGCAAUAUGGCAUAGUGCUUAUGAGCAGGACUACAUAGUUCUUUCUGAAUACAAAUCUCAGAUAAAACACUAUCUCAGUGAUCAACCAGGUUAAGCAACCUUUUUAGUGCCUCAAUUAUUCCAUUUGUAAAAUUGUAAUAAUGAUAGUACUAACCUAUAAGAUUGUGGUGAGGAUUAAGUCAGAUAAUACAAAAGAAGCAUUUAGAGUAUUUCCUGGCAUUAUCUACCAUUUAUUGAAUUUUUAUGGUUAAGAAGAAUAAGGAAAAGCAGAAGAAAAGGAAAAGAGAAAAAAUACAUAAGAAGAAGGAAGAGUGGUAAGCUCUAGUAAAUUACAACAAACGGUAACGUAGAAAACAUUUGUUAGCCCUUAAUAUAGGCCAGGCACUGUGUUCAAUGCUUAAACCUCAUUACUGUUCUUUGAAGUGGAUAACAUUAUUCCUUCCAUUUUAAAGAAAGGAAUACUAAAGACAACUUUGUCAAUAUUAUUCAUGUAAUAAAUGACAGAAUUUGACCAAGACAAUAGAGAAUGAACUCUUAAUCACUAUAUUGUUUUAUUUUUUGAAAAUAGAUUUUAAGUUCUUAUUAAAUGUUAAUGACUCACAUCAAAAUAAAGCCAAUCAAAAUUGACAGCAAU
rnacentral:lncRNA from 10 species